GGAGAGAUGGUUGGUGUAAUGAGAUGCUCUGUGGGGUUUAUUGAAACCAAAGUAAACAACAUCCCAGCGCAAGUCCAGCGGUAGCUGCAGAACGUGAUCCGCUCGAAGCAAGUGUGUGUCCCUUUGUGGAUUUGACUGGAAUGUAGCGUCUAAAAGACCAAAUAGAAAUAAACAGUUCACGAAAGA